rnacentral:rRNA from 1 species
UAGGGAAUUUUCGUCAAUGGGCGCAAGCCUGAACGAGCGAUGCCGCGUGAGUGAAGAAGGCCUUCGGUCGUAAAGCUCUGUUGCGGGGGAAAAAAGGCAGCAUCAGGAAAUGGGUGCUGACUGAUGGUGCCCCGCCAGAAAGUCACGGCUAACUACGUGCC